rnacentral:rRNA from 1 species
UACGUAGGGACCAAGCGUUGUUCGGAUUUACUGGGCGUAAAGGGCGCGUAGGCGGCGUGACAAGUCACUUGUGAAAUCUCCGGGCUUAACUCGGAACGGUCAAGUGAUACUGUCGUGCUAGAGUGCAGAAGGGGCAAUCGGAAUUCUUGGUGUAGCGGUGAAAUGCGCAGAUAUCGGGAAGAACACCCGUGGCGAAGGCGGUUCUCUGGGACGGUACUGACGCUGAGACGCGAAAGCGUGGGGAGCGAACAGG